AAGAGCAUUGCUUGCCACACUAUCUUACUCUUUCUGCACUUGACUUUUUCCCCUUGAUUUAUUAAAAUGAAGUUUGUUUACAUGUUGGUCAAUCACACCUGACUGGCACACAAGACUUAGCUUGAUUUUGGUAUUAAGCUUUUGUCAACCCUGUUUUCUGAUUCACAAUUUGGACUAAAUAAAUAGUUGGUUAUUAAAAGUUGUGCUCCACUUACUAAAUUUGUUUGAUAUUGAAGUUAGGGCUUUAACAAAUUGUUAUGCACUUCUAAGCUAUUAUCUCUCCUUUCAUAGUUAUCAAAUGACUGUGCAGUGUGCGCAUCAAAACCUCCCUUUUGCUUUGCUCUUCUUUCCCUUAUUCUCUUGCACAGAAUGUGGCAUUUACCUUGGAUUUUCUUUUAGUUGCAAAAUGUGGUAUCUGUAAUUUCUUCAUUUCAUUAUUAUGUUUGUGUGGCUUUGCAGUUGUGAACCUGACACUGAUUGAUCUUCCUGGGCUUACAAAAGUAGCUAUUGAUGGCCAAUCUGAAAGCAUUGUGCAAGACAUUGAGAAUAUGGUCCGGUCCUAUAUUGAGAAGGUUCACAUAUCAAAGAAAGGAAAGAAAAAGAAGUAG